rnacentral:rRNA from 1 species
ACUCCUACGGGAGGCAGCAGUGGGGAAUAUUGCACAAUGGGCGCAAGCCUGAUGCAGCAACGCCGCGUGAGCGAUGAAGGCCUUCGGGUCGUAAAGCUCUGUCCUCAAGGAAGAAUAAAUGACGGUACUUGAGGAGGAAGCCCCGGCUAACUACGUGCCAGCAGCCGCGGUAAUACGUAGGGGGCAAGCGUUAUCCGGAAUCACUGGGCGUAAAGGGUGCGUAGGCGGUUUUCUAAGUCAGAAGUGAAAGGCUAUGGCUCAACCAUAGUAAGCUUUUGAAACUGUUAAACUUGAGUGCAGGAGAGGAAAGUGGAAUUCCUAGUGUAGAGGUGAAAUUCGUAGAUAUUAGGAGGAACACCAGUGGCGAAGGCGACUUCUGGACUGUAACUGACGCUGAGGCACGAAAGCGUGGGGAGCGAACAGGAUUAGAUACCCUGGUAGCACAGAG